UACGUAGGGGGCAAGCGUUGUCCGGAUUUAUUGGGCGUAAAGAGCGUGUAGGCGGUCUGGUAGGUCCGUUGUGAAAACUCGAGGCUCAACCUCGAGACGCCGAUGGAAACCCUCAGACUAGAGUCCGGAAGAGGAGAGUGGAAUUCCUGGUGUAGCGGUGAAAUGCGCAGAUAUCAGGAAGAACACCCGUGGCUAAGGCGGCUCUCUAGUACGUGACUGACGCUGAGACGCGAAAGCGUGGGGAGCGAACAGG
rnacentral:rRNA from 1 species